UAUUCUGCCCCACGGGGAAGGAUGAGAAGCUUCGACCAAGGUUCGACUCGAGCGAAGCGAGAGAACGUUGCCGCAGGCAACGGCCCGAAGGGCGAAGCGCUUUAGCGCCGAGUAAUCCUUCCCCCACCACUG
rnacentral:sRNA from 3 species